GAUGAACGCUGGCGGCGGGCCUAAUACAUGCAAGUCGAGCGAACGGACGAGAAACUUGCCCCUCUGACGUUAGCGGCGGAGGGGUGAGUAACAUGCGGAGAACCCAGCUCAUAGACUGGGAUAACUUCGGGAAACCGGAGCUUAUACCGGCUAAUAUAUUGCACCGCAAGGUUGAGUAGUGAAAGACGGUUUUGCGGUGGCUUAUACAUUGACCCGCGACGCAUUAGCUAGUUGGUAAGGUAACGGCUUACCAAGGCAACGAUUCGUAGCCGACCUGAGAGGGUGAUCGGCCACACUGGAACUGAGACACGGUCCAGACUCCUACGGGAGGCAGCAGUAGGGAAUCUUCCGCAAUGGGCGAAAGCCUGACGGAGCAACGCCGCGUGAGUGAUGAAGGUCUUCGGAUCGUAAAACUCUGUUAUUAGGGAAGAACAAAUGUGUGAGUAACUAUGCACGUCUUGACGGUACCUAAUCAGAAAGCCACGGCUAACUACGUG
rnacentral:rRNA from 1 species